GAGUUUGAUCUUGGCUCAGAUUGAACGCUGGCGGCGUGCUUAACACAUGCAAGUCGAGCGGUAACAGGCGUAGCAAUACGUGCUGACGAGCGGCGGACGGGUGAGUAAUGCUUGGGAAUCUUCCCAGUAGUGGGGAAUAACCAGCCGAAAGGUUGGCUAAUACCGCAUACGUCUACUUCUCUUACUGAGAGGUAGGGAAAGCGGGGGACCGUAAGGCCUCGCGCUGUUGGACGAGCCCAAGUCGGAUUAGCUAGUUGGCGGGGUAACGGCCCACCAAGGCGACGAUCCGUAGCUGGUCUGAGAGGACGACCAGCCACACUGGGACUGAGACACGGCCCAGACUCCUACGGGAGGCAGCAGUGGGGAAUAUUGGACAAUGGGGGGAAAACCCUGGAUCCAGCGACGCCGCGUGUGUG
rnacentral:rRNA from 1 species